rnacentral:rRNA from 1 species
ACUGGCCCAACAGAAAUGACGUGCUUGCACUGAUUUGACGUUGGAUUCCCAGUGAGCGGCGGACGGGUGAGUAACACGUGGGCAACCUGCCCCAAAGCGGGGGAUAACAUUUGGAAACAGGUGCUAAUACCGCAUAACUUGGAAAACCACAUGGUUUUCCAAUAAAAGAUGGUUUCGGCUAUCACUUUGGGAUGGGCCCGCGGUGCAUUAGCUAGUUGGUAAGGUAACGGCUUACCAAGGCGAUGAUGCAUAGCCGAGUUGAGAGACUGAUCGGCCACAAUGGAACUGAGACACGGUCCAUACUCCUACGGGAGGCAGCAGUAGGGAAUCUUCCACAAUGGGCGCAAGCCUGAUGGAGCAACACCGCGUGAGUGAAGAAGGGUUUCGGCUCGUAAAACUCUGUUGUUGGAGAAGAACGUGCGUAAGAGUAACUGUUUACGCAGUGACGGUAUCCAACCAGAAAGUCACGGCUAACUACGUGCCAGCAGCCGCGGUAAUACGUAGGUGGCAAGCGUUAUCCGGAUUUAUUGGGCGUAAAGCGAGCGCAGGCGGUUGCUUAGGUCUGAUGUGAAAGCCUUCGGCUUAACCGAAGAAGUGCAUCGGAAACCGGGCGACUUGAGUGCAGAAGAGGACAGUG